AGUGAACGCUGGCGGCGUGCUUAACACAUGCAAGUCGAACGAGAACGGGUUAUAGCUUGCUAUAAUUGUCAGCUAAGUGGCGCACGGGUGAGUACUGUAUAGGUAAUAUGCCUCUUACUAAGGGAUAACAAAUGGAAACGUUUGCUAAUACCUUAUACUCCUUAUUAACAGAAGUUAAUAAGGGAAAGAUUUAUUGGUAAGAGAUUAGCCUGUAUUGUAUCAGUUAGUUGGUGGGGUAAUGGCUUACCAAGACUAUGACACAUAACUGGUUUGAGAGGAUGAUCAGUCACACUGGAACUGAGACACGGUCCAGACUCCUACAGGAGGCAGCAGUGGGGAAUAUUGCACAAUGGACGAAAGUCUGAUGCAGCAACGCCGCGUGGAGGAUGACACAUUUCGGUGCGUAAACUCCUUUUAUAUGAGAAGAUAAUGACGGUAUUAUAUGAAUAAGCACCGGCUAACUCCGUGCCAGCCGCCGCGGUAA
rnacentral:rRNA from 1 species